rnacentral:rRNA from 1 species
ACCCGCUGAAUUUAAGCAUAUCAAUAAGCGGAGGAAAAGAAACUAACAAGGAUUCCCUUAGUAACGGCGAGUGAAGAGGGAAUAGCCCAGCACCGAAGCCUGCGGCAAUUUUGCUGUUAGGCAAUGUGGUGUUCGGGUCGACUAGCGGGACCGUAACUCCAUUCGAAGUCCAGCAUUGAGUAUGGUUAUCAUUGGAUUUGGCCCAUAGAGGGUGAGAGGCCCGUACGAGUGGAGGUGCAGACAUGUAAUACGGUUCACCAGGUCGGCCUUAGAGUCGGGUUGUUUGAGAUUGCAGCCCAAAGUGGGUGGUAAACUCCAUCCAAGGCUAAAUACAGGCACGAGUCCGAUAGCGAACAAGUACCGUGAGGGAAAGUUGAAAAGUACUCUGAAGAGAGAGUAAACAGUACGUGAAACCGCAUGCAGGUAAACGGGUGGCGUCAAACCGCGAGCCCAGAGGAUUCAGCUGAUUGGGUUGUUUUAUUUGGCCAGAAUAAAAUUUAGUGGUCCGCUCUCUUAUUGUGAGAGUGGAGUAAGGUUGUAGGUGUGUGUGUAUAUGUGUGUGGUAAAGUAUUAUACUACUUGUGGUGUAGUGCUUGCCAUAAACUUUAUACAUUUACCUCUUCCGAGCUAUAAGUGCCGGGUGGGUGCCGGAGUAUGCCACUAGUCUAAAGGGCCGCCUAGUCAGUGCAAUUUCUCUGUGGUGAACAUCACGACCGAUGGAAUUGCCAGUCCAUUGUAGUCAAGUCGUGCUUAUGUGGCUAUUGAAAAGUGGCUUGUCUACUUCUUCAAUGUGGUUACGUGAGUGUGAUCGCAGGUGGAGCAAGUAAACGGCGUAGUGAUGCUUCGGUAUUGCUACGUGUUAUCGUGUACUUACCACCAACGAGUUGUUGUGUAGUGGUGUGCUUUAAUUACUCAACAAUUUGGCGGACUACGAUGGUAAAAAUGACUGUGCAAGGCAUCGGCUUUAUCCACCUCACAUAUAUGCGUAUUUUUUUACGUGUAUAUGAAUGUAUCCGGCAGGCUUGCACAUAAGUCAUUAUGGAGACUCAUUGCCGUGUAUAUGCAUUAUGCGUGAUUGUCGUUUUGCCUACAAAAAGUAGGUGCGGCAGUGGUAUAGUGUACAUUUUAAUACACGGUAUUUGUAUGUUGUCUCUAAUGCAUGUGAUACAGUGGGUGUAAUAGUCAGUGAUGCUGUGGUAGACGAGCUACCCGACCCGUCUCGAAACACGGACCAAGGAGUUUAACAUGUGUGCAAGUCAAAGGGCUAUACGAAACCCCAAGGCGUAGUGAAAGUAAAAAUUGUAUACAAUGUAUAAUUGUGUACAAUGAGGUGAGAUCUUACUGUGCAUUAAUGUCAUUAUUGAUAAUAUUGUGCAGUGAGCGCAUCACCGGCCCGUCCCAUGAUGUGGUCAUUGGCAUUGAUAUGUGUGUAUAUGUACUUGUUGCAUGUAUACUGCAUGUCAGCUAAUGCAUCAUCGGGGCGGAGCAUGAGCACACACGUUGAGACCCGAAAGAUGGUGAACUAUGCUUGCGUAGGUUGAAGCCAGAGGAAACUCUGGUGGAGGACCGUAGCGAUUCUGACGUGCAAAUCGAUCGUCAAACGUGAGUAUAGGGGCGAAAGACUAAUCGAACCAUCUAGUAGCUGGUUCCCUCCGAAGUUUCCCUCAGGAUAGC